GUUAGCUGUGGCCAGUUAAGUUAGUCUUAUGAACUGGAGUAUAAGUAAAUGUUUCAAUGUAUGAUAUGAUAACUAUAUAUUUUGAUUACUUAAUUAGGGCAAACCUUGGGAGUACUUUAUUGUUAGAUUAUGCUAGUUAGAUUGGAUGCUAUGAUUAAUACAAUGAUUAUGGAGCCUGAAUUAUGUUAACCUUGGAUCUUUUAUAAGUGAAAGUGCCAGGAAAAAUGUAGUUGUACUUAAUUAUUUGUUAAUUAUUGUGAGAUGUAAUUAAUUGUACUUUGUAUAUAUGUAUAUACGAGGAAGAGGAUGAUACAAAAUAUAUAUAUACGAGAAAGCUCCUUUGGAGUUGUCAUAUUUAAAUGGACAAUAUAUAGUAUAUACCUCUUUUGUUGUAAAUCAAAAAAUAAGUGGAGAACAA
rnacentral:lncRNA from 1 species